AUGAACGCUGGCGGCGUGCUUAACACAUGCAAGUCGAACGAAGCACUUUUACGGAAGUUUUCGGAUGGAAGUGAUGGUGACUGAGUGGCGGACGGGUGAGUAACGCGUGGGUAACCUGCCUCAUACAGGGGGAUAACAGUUAGAAAUGACUGCUAAUACCGCAUAAGCGCACAGUUCUGCAUGGGACAGUGUGAAAAACUCCGGUGGUAUAAGAUGGAUUCGCGUCUGAUUAGCUAGUUGGUGAGGUAACGGCUCACCAAGGCGACGAUCAGUAGCCGGCCUGAGAGGGUGAACGGCCACAUUGGGACUGAGACACGGCCCAGACUCCUACGGGAGGCAGCAGUGGGGAAUAUUGCACAAUGGGGGAAACCCUGAUGCAGCGACGCCGCGUGAGUGAAGAAGUAUUUCGGUAUGUAAAGCUCUAUCAGCAGGGGAGAAAAUGACGGUACCUGACUAAGAAGCCCCGGCUAACUACGUG
rnacentral:rRNA from 1 species